GGGCAUCGUAGGGAUGUAGGCUUUGCCUGCUAUCUCUUACCCAUGUCUUUUAAGUACCUUACGUUUCCUCGGCGGGUCCGCCCGCCGAUUGGACAAUUUAAACCAUUUGCAGUUGCAAUCAGCGUCUGAAAAAACUUAAUAGUUACAACUUUCAACAACGGAUCUCUUGGUUCUGGCAUCGAUGAAGAACGCAGCGAAAUGCGAUAAGUAGUGUGAAUUGCAGAAUUCAGUGAAUCAUCGAAUCUUUGAACGCACAUUGCGCCCCUUGGUAUUCCAUGGGGCAUGCCUGUUCGAGCGUCAUUUGUACCUUCAAGCUCUGCUUGGUGUUGGGUGUUUGUCUCGCCUCUGCGUGUAGACUCGCCUCAAAACAAUUGGCAGCCGGCGUAUUGAUUUCGGAGCGCAGUACAUCUCGCGCUUUGCACUCAUAACGACGACGUCCAAAAGUACAUUUUUACACUCUUGACCUCGGAUCAGGUAGGGAUACCCGCUGAACUUAAG
rnacentral:rRNA from 1 species